CACCCGCGUGAAACCGCCAAACCCUCAUUAUUCAUCUCACUGUUUCUCUCUCUCUGAUCACUCUCGUUGCGAUUUUCUUCAAUUCAAGAUUUCAGUUAUGGAUUCAGGGUCACCGCCGCCACCGUAUCCGAUGGCAAAUCCUUCGUCGUCGCCGGCAGCACAAUACCUUACUCCUCCUCGUAUAACACCGUCCACGACUCCCUCUACGCCGGCGGCACCGAAGAAGAAGAGGCGAGGUGUGGAUCGAUUGUUGAUGGCUGAGGCCAUCCUGUUUGGCGAGAUUGUGUUGGCGGAGUGCCGGAAGAAUGAGAUGACUGUGGAAGCCUUGGAGGCGGAAAGGAAGAAGAAAAUCCGCAUUCUCAUGUCAAUGCGCUAGUUCUUCUUCUCUAUUGGUAUUUGUUUCUCCGUAACUAAUAGUUUGAUUGUUUUGUUUCUUCUAUUCAGGGUUUCGUCGUCAUCGGAGGCGCAAUAGAGUUUGGUUCGGGUCCGGUCGGUCUUGAAAAGCUUCUUUGCUGAGAGAGUAUACAGGAGGUGGGGAUGUGCCAUUUCAAGGACUAUACUCAAGUAACAGAUCAAAAUUUAAAGGAGCUGACUUUGUACCCAUUGAUUCAUGUAUCCAUUUUCUCAGAAGGUUCAAUAUGAUUGAAUCAACUUCAUAGGGAACCAUCCCUCGCACAACUGUUUUUCUAUUAUCCUCACCCUUAGUAGAGUCUUCAACGACCAUUUGGUUCAAAACCUUUUCUAGGUUUUCAGCCCUCUGCAGUACCUCAACUGUUUUACAAGUCAGUGGGGUCACUUCACUUAAAUAUUGCCUCAACUCAUGGCCAUAGAAGUUGUGCAACAUCACGGUUGCAACUGUCCCAGCUGCUUGGUGCCAUUUCUUCAGCAAUGAUUCCUUUUCUUUCAUAGCAUCACUGGCCACCUUAGCCAACACAGCAUGUAAAACAUAAAGAAGAUCAGUUUCUACCUGCCCAAUUUCUAUGCACUGAAACACCCAAGUGAAGCACCCGUUGUGAAGUCUUCUUCAUCAGCUCAAGUAGCUCAUAAACUUCAUCAAGGACUGAUGCCUCGUACAUUUUGCUGCAUAGUACUUGCAUGGGACAAGUUCACGAGCUUCACCUCCUAGAGCAUGGAAAGAUGAAACAGUUCAUACUAUCACAAAGGGAAGAUGUAAUUGAGCGUUGAUUCAGUAUGGAGGAUCAAUGAGGAUAUUGGCAUCUAAGCUGAUUGGUUAACUACAAAUUUUUUGAAUGAUAUUAGAUUUUCUGGUAUUCCUGAUCACAAGCUAGUUUGCAAGGAAGGUGCCCCUGUUAUGCUCAUGAGAAAUCUUGACAUUUCUACUAAUUUGUGUAAUGGUACAAGACUUAUUAUCAACUAUCUUGGGCCAAAUGUCAUCAGUGCUAUUGUUAUUUCUGGCACACAUAUUGGCCAUAAAGUAUACAUUUAUAGGAUGAAUUAUAUGACCUCUUUAAUUGUAUCUUUUGUAAUGACUAUAAACAAGAUUCAAGGCCAAACUUUAUGGCAUAUUAGUGUCUAUCUAACGAACCCAGUAUUUUCUCAUGGCCAAUCAUAUGUUAUCAUUUCUAGAGUGAAAAACAGGUCUGGUAUGAAGAUAUUAAUAUUCAACGAA